rnacentral:rRNA from 1 species
AUUGAACGCUAGCGGGAUGCCUUACACAUGCAAGUCGAACGGAGUGGCGAACGGGUGAGUAAUGUAUCGGAACGUGCCCAGUAGCGGGGGAUAACUACGCGAAAGCGUAGCUAAUACCGCAUACUAUUGGAGCGGCCGCUAUCGGAUUAGCUAGUUGGUGGGGUAACGGCUCACCAAGGCGACGAUCCGUAGCUGGUUUGAGAGGACGACCAGCCACACUGGAACUGAGACACGGUGCAUACUCCUACGUGAGGCAGCAGUGGGGAAUAUUGCACAAUGGGCGCAAGCCUGAUGGAGCAAUGCCGCGUGUAUGAAGAAGGCCUUCGGGUUGUAAAGUACUUUCAGCGGGGAGGCGUUACCCGCAGAAGAAGCACCGGCUAACUCCGUGCCAGCAGCCGCGGUAAUAC